CAGACCCAAACCCCAGAGUCAUCCCUGAUCACCCACAAAACCCUGGGGCCAUUCCAGCGGCAAUUCCAUGCACUCCAGCUUCACAUGUGCCUUCAGGAUCUCCUUGCUCCUCCACUGCUCCCACUGCCUCCAGCCUCCACUGCCUCAAAUCUGGGCAUAUGCACGGCUUCCUCGCUGGCCCCAGCAGCUAGCUGCCUUUGACCUCCUACAGUCUGUUCUCAGCCAAAAACCAGAGAGAACCACUUAAAAUGUCAGGCCGAUCAACACCUAAAUUCAAACCUUCACCAGCUCCCUAUUUCACUCGGAGCCUAAGGCUGAAGCUCUUCCUCUCAGGCCUCGCCUGCCACCCCCUCCUUGUUCAGCUUUAGCCACAUGGGCCUCCUGGCUGCUCCUCCAACGUACCAGGCACACUUCUGCCCAAGGACUAUGCCCCGUGGCCUGCAACAUCACCCCAGCAGGCCACCGGCCCCUCUCCCCUCCUUCCAGCUCUGCUCACAUAGCACUCACUCUGCAAGUCCUCCUGGACCAUCUUCAAACCUGCACCCCCACCGCCCACGCUUGCUUUCCUUUGCGCCUUAGCACUCCUGAUCCUCUCAACGCCCACUAUGACUCACUGCUGUAUUUUGUUUAAGUCUGCCCCAACUGGGCUGUACCCAUGGGGGCAGGAAUUUUCAUCUGCUUUGUUCACUGAUACUCAAAAUCUUGGGCAGGAGGAUGUGGGUGCUGCCCCAUUGGAACAGAAUCUGCAGUUGGCACCUGGGCUGCAGAACGUCCCGGACGAAGUUGUAGGCAUAGAAGCAGACGAAGAGCCCCAGGGCCAGCAGGGUGGGGAUUGUUCCCUCAGACUGGAAUGCACUCCCUGCUCCCUGAGCCUGACAGCAUGAGGUGGGCCCAGGUCAAAGCCCUCCUCCAAGUCUUUUCCAGCCAGCUUGCUUGCUCCGUUCCCUCCAGGCCCUGCAUCCAACACUCUCCACUGUUCCUCCUGGUCCAUACCUGGGAGUCCCAUGAUGCAGCCUGCAUUUAAGGUGCUGUAGUCAGGUAUGGCUGGGCACCUUUAAACUGUCCUACAGAGCCUGGCACCUGGGCUCGACUCACUGGUGGAAGUUCUCACACAUGGAGUCUGGCAUUCUUUCGCCAAGAAAAUGCAUUAAAAACCAAGGUGGCAUUAAAAACCACCUUGUCUUGGUAAGAGCUCCUCGUGGCAAGAAACGUAUGCAGCUCUAGCUGUUCCGUGGAGCCAUUAUCUAGCCCCAGAAAAACCUGCUGUUGACUUUUCUGAGAAAUCAGUUCUUGGAAGCCCUUAGAAUAAAUACGAUAAAAUUUGAGACAUGCCUGCCUUCCUCAGGGCCGGGUACAUAAGUGUGUUACUUUCCUCCUUCUGAGUCCAAUUCUAAAAGCCAAGUCUCUCUCCUUCUUGGCUCCAAAUAGCAAAAAGCCAUCAACCUUUUCCUCCUUGCCCUCUAGGAAACCCUGUUACCAUAGCAGAAAGAACAUGGGUUUCAGAUCCAUAGGAACUGGGUUCAAAUCCCAACUUACCAGCUAUGGAAUUUUCAGUAAGAUCAUUAAUGUCUUUGAGCCACAAUUUCCUGUUCUGUAAAAUGGAAUUUUGCAGUGAUGCAGGAUUAGUUAUGAUAACAUAUCAAAAAGAGCAUGCUGGCAGCACUCGAUGAAAAUUAGCCAUUUAUAUUUAUUGUUACGAUGGGUAUUAUUCCCCCAGAACCUACCUGCCUGUUACCAUCCCUUGGGCCAGCCUGCAGGGUCCAGGCAGAGAUGACAUUGAAGGCCUUGACCACUGUGCAAGUGGGGAAGAGGGAGGCCAGGUACUCAGCAUUGGACUCACGAUGCUGAAGGUGCUCUUGCUCUGUAGGGUUGCUCACAUCCACCAGGAUCUUGCCCGCCAGCUGGUCACUGAGACUGCACAGUGAAGAGUAGUGCUCCCGGAACACAGCCACAAAGAUGACCUCCGGGGAGCUCACUGCCUCCUCUUGGAAAGUCACUUGGGCCGCUGAGGGAAACAGCCUGGCUGUGCGUUUGGGGUUGCGGCUCCCCACCACCACUUUGAAGCCAGAGCCCACCAGGCGUGUGGCCAGGGAGCGGGCAAAGUCCCCGCUACCCAGGAUGCCCACUUUGGGGGCCUCAUCGGGGACCUUGGCAAGGCUACUAUCGCUGUCCACCAGGUGGAGGCUGAUCAGUGGCUUGUCCAUCUCUUCUGGCAUUUUGGUGGCUGCAAGAGAAGUCAGGAACCUGGUCAGUGGAGGGCUCCUGGACUGCCCCUUCUGCCACCUCCCUCCUCUUAUACAUCGUAACUACACGGCAGUCAGACAUUCACCCAGCAGGUGUUCACCGAGUGCUACCACGUGUCAGCACCAGGGGAACAAGCUGAACACAACACAGCCCCUUCCCUGGGGAGAGCACAGACUCAGGAAGAGCAGGGAUGACUUCUGCCCUCCACCCUUUGUCCCUCCUGCUGAAUGAUUUCCUCGGGAAAAACUGGCAGAGUGAGAGUGCUGGGAAAGGGAACUCUGGAAUUUCCAUGACCAAUGUGAUGCAGUGCCAUACUUCUUUUCAAAAGGAUUAGGCAAUGGACAGUGUCACUAGCCAGGAGUGACCAUCUAACCCCAACCUCACCAUCGCUGGGUGUUUGAUGACCAGGAAGGGUGAGCAUGUCCCUAUGCUUGUCUACAUUUUGCAUCUUGGAGCAGUUCUUCUUAUGCUCUCCCUGAAGCAUGGUGAACAGCUUGAGGGCAGGACCUCAUCUCAUCUGACCUUGGACCUCACUGUGUAUCAUAGCCUGGCACGGAGGCAGUGCUCAGUGUUUGCUGAAUGAAUGAAUGAAUGAACACCAAACCUUGAUCUCUGAGGGCAGGACUGAGAGACAAGUGAAUGGGCCCCUAAGAUAGAGUGGGUGCCCUGUGAUCUUCUUUGCUGAGCCCAAGAUAUGAGUGGAUGUGGAGGAAACCCUGAACUCGGGCCAUCGGUCUACAGUAAACUUGGAUGGAAAAAUUAUUAUAUAUUAAUUGUCACCAACUUCUAACUAAAAUUUGCUAUUUCCUUUAAGUAUGAAGGUAGGCAACAUAAUUUUUCAUUAAUACUGACCAAGAUCAUAUCAUAAAUUUACCUGUAAAUAAUUUAUCCUAAUACCAUUUAAAUUGAGCACAAAUUUAAAACCAUGCUAGCCAGGUGCAGUGGCUCACACCUGUAAUCUUAGCACUUCAGGAGGUCAAGGCAGGAGAAUCGCUUGAGGUCAGGAGUUCAAGACCAGCCUGGGCCACACAGGGAGGUCCCAUCUC
rnacentral:lncRNA from 1 species